UACGGAGGGAGCUAGCGUUGUUCGGAAUUACUGGGCGUAAAGCGCACGUAGGCGGCUUUGUAAGUUAGAGGUGAAAGCCCGGGGCUCAACCCCGGAAUUGCCUUUAAGACUGCAUCGCUUGAAUCCGGGAGAGGUGAGUGGAAUUCCGAGUGUAGAGGUGAAAUUCGUAGAUAUUCGGAAGAACACCAGUGGCGAAGGCGGCCCGCUGGGCAGUGGCUGACGCUGAGGCGCGACAGCGUGGGGAGCAAACAGG
rnacentral:rRNA from 1 species